GGUUAAGCGACUAAGCGUACACGGUGGAUGCCCUGGCAGUCAGAGGCGAUGAAGGACGUGCUAAUCUGCGAUAAGCGUCGGUAAGGUGAUAUGAACCGUUAUAACCGGCGAUUUCCGAAUGGGGAAACCCAGUGUGAUUCGUCACACUAUCAUUAACUGAAUCCAUAGGUUAAUGAGGCGAACCGGGGGAACUGAAACAUCUAAGUACCCCGAGGAAAAGAAAUCAACCGAGAUUCCCCCAGUAGCGGCGAGCGAACGGGGAGCAGCCCAGAGCCUGAAUCAGUGUGUGUGUUAGUGGAAGCGUCUGGAAAGGCGUGCGAUACAGGGUGACAGCCCCGUACACAAAAAUGCACAUACUGUGAGCUCGAUGAGUAGGGCGGGACACGUGGUAUCCUGUCUGAAUAUGGGGGGACCAUCCUCCAAGGCUAAAUACUCCUGACUGACCGAUAGUGAACCAGUACCGUGAGGGAAAGGCGAAAAGAACCCCGGCGAGGGGAGUGAAAAAGAACCUGAAACCGUGUACGUACAAGCAGUGGGAGCACGCUUAGGCGUGUGACUGCGUACCUUUUGUAUAAUGGGUCAGCGACUUAUAUUCUGUAGCAAGGUUAACCGAAUAGGGGAGCCGAAGGGAAACCGAGUCUUAACUGGGCGUUAAGUUGCAGGGUAUAGACCCGAAACCCGGUGAUCUAGCCAUGGGCAGGUUGAAGGUUGGGUAACACUAACUGGAGGACCGAACCGACUAAUGUUGAAAAAUUAGCGGAUGACUUGUGGCUGGGGGUGAAAGGCCAAUCAAACCGGGAGAUAGCUGGUUCUCCCCGAAAGCUAUUUAGGUAGCGCCUCGUGAAUUCAUCUCCGGGGGUAGAGCACUGUUUCGGCAAGGGGGUCAUCCCGACUUACCAACCCGAUGCAAACUGCGAAUACCGGAGAAUGUUAUCACGGGAGACACACGGCGGGUGCUAACGUCCGUCGUGAAGAGGGAAACAACCCAGACCGCCAGCUAAGGUCCCAAAGUCAUGGUUAAGUGGGAAACGAUGUGGGAAGGCCCAGACAGCCAGGAUGUUGGCUUAGAAGCAGCCAUCAUUUAAAGAAAGCGUAAUAGCUCACUGGUCGAGUCGGCCUGCGCGGAAGAUGUAACGGGGCUAAACCAUGCACCGAAGCUGCGGCAGCGACGCUUAUGCGUUGUUGGGUAGGGGAGCGUUCUGUAAGCCUGUGAAGGUGUGCUGUGAGGUAUGCUGGAGGUAUCAGAAGUGCGAAUGCUGACAUAAGUAACGAUAAAGCGGGUGAAAAGCCCGCUCGCCGGAAGACCAAGGGUUCCUGUCCAACGUUAAUCGGGGCAGGGUGAGUCGACCCCUAAGGCGAGGCCGAAAGGCGUAGUCGAUGGGAAACAGGUUAAUAUUCCUGUACUUGGUGUUACUGCGAAGGGGGGACGGAGAAGGCUAUGUUGGCCGGGCGACGGUUGUCCCGGUUUAAGCGUGUAGGCUGGUUUUCCAGGCAAAUCCGGAAAAUCAAGGCCGAGGCGUGAUGACGAGGCACUACGGUGCUGAAGCAACAAAUGCCCUGCUUCCAGGAAAAGCCUCUAAGCAUCAGGUAACAUCAAAUCGUACCCCAAACCGACACAGGUGGUCAGGUAGAGAAUACCAAGGCGCUUGAGAGAACUCGGGUGAAGGAACUAGGCAAAAUGGUGCCGUAACUUCGGGAGAAGGCACGCUGAUACGUAGGUGAAGCGACUUGCUCGUGGAGCUGAAAUCAGUCGAAGAUACCAGCUGGCUGCAACUGUUUAUUAAAAACACAGCACUGUGCAAACACGAAAGUGGACGUAUACGGUGUGACGCCUGCCCGGUGCCGGAAGGUUAAUUGAUGGGGUUAGCGCAAGCGAAGCUCUUGAUCGAAGCCCCGGUAAACGGCGGCCGUAACUAUAACGGUCCUAAGGUAGCGAAAUUCCUUGUCGGGUAAGUUCCGACCUGCACGAAUGGCGUAAUGAUGGCCAGGCUGUCUCCACCCGAGACUCAGUGAAAUUGAACUCGCUGUGAAGAUGCAGUGUACCCGCGGCAAGACGGAAAGACCCCGUGAACCUUUACUAUAGCUUGACACUGAACAUUGAGCCUUGAUGUGUAGGAUAGGUGGGAGGCUUUGA
rnacentral:rRNA from 2 species